AUUUCUCUCUUUCUCUCCCGAUCAAAGGCUCGAUCCGACAAAGGAAGAUUUGCUUUAAUCGGAGGUUAUAGAAUCAGUGAAGUCCAUGGUCGGAGGCGAUUUGAAUCGGCAGAGAUCUUAUCGGAGGCGACUGUAGCGGUGGCGAUUUGAAUCGUCAUGGAGAUUAAACCGGUGGCGAUUUGAAGGAGUAGGCGAUUCAAUCGGAAGAGAUAGGAUGAAUUCGAAUGAGAGGGUAAGUUUAUCAGGGCAUUUGUAUGAUUAGCUAAACUGUUAGGUUGAUUUGAUUUUGGUUGCUAGAUAUUAGGGUUGUUUGAUGUUUGUUCGAGAAAUUAGGGUUCUUGGUGUGUUCUUCGAUCUGCUUUAAACGGAUUAGGGUUUUUAGUGUUAUUGUUUUUCAAUUUGGUCUGUUUGUGUUUAGUUUUUGGUGGGUUUGUGUUUCUUAACCGAUUGAUAAGUGAUGGUUUAAAGGGAUUAGGGUUCUUGAGAACCAUGUGAUCCGAUUUGCUCUGCUUGUGUUUAGUUAAUGGUGUGUUUGUGUUUUUUAACCGAUUGAUAAGUGAUGGUUUAAAUAGAUUAGGGUUCUUGAGAACCAUGUGAUCCGAUUUGUUCUGCUUGUGUUUAGUUUAUGGUGUGUUUGUGUUUUUUAACUGAUUGAUAAGUGAUGGUUUAAAGAGAUGUUUAGACAUUAUUGUUCUUGUUCUAUUUUGUGUUAAAGAGAUUUUGGUUGUAGUAUUAUCCACUCAUUGUGUUUGGUUGUCUUUGUUUGAUAUUCAUUGUAAUUUACUUAUUAACGAAAUUGUGAUAUAUGUCUCUCUUUUGUAUUGAGGUUAAAUGGGACAAAAAUGAGAUCGAUGGAUUGAUGAGUGUAGAGUGUGCUUCGGCCAUGGAGGAAGGUACAAAACGAUGACCCGUGACACAUAACGAAGAAGGUAGAUAAGAUGAUGUUCACAUAAAGAAGAAGGUAGAUUCGUAUGAUCUUUAGCAAAGAUGACCUGUGACACAUAAAAGAAGAAGGUGGCUUCGAAGAUGUGGACAUAAUUGUAGAAGUACAUUUUCACUUUUGAAUAUUGUUGUACUUUCACCACAUUAUUGUUGUACUUUCAAUGUUUGUACCACAUGUUUUCUUAUCA